rnacentral:tRNA from 1 species
GGGGAUAUAGCUCAGUGGUAGAGUGCUUGCCUAGCAAGCACAAGGCCCUGGGUUCGGUCCCCAGCUCCG